rnacentral:rRNA from 1 species
AUACGGAGGGUGCGAGCGUUAAUCGGAAUUACUGGGCGUAAAGGGUGCGUAGGCGGCUUGAUAAGUCGGAUGUGAAAGCCCCGGGCUUAACCUGGGAAUUGCAUUCGAUACUGUCAGGCUAGAGUAUGUCAGAGGUUGGCGGAACUCCUGGUGUAGCGGUGAAAUGCGUAGAUAUCAGGAGGAACACCAGUGGCGAAGGCGGCUAACUGGGGCAAUACUGACGCUGAGGCACGAAAGCGUGGGGAGCAAACAGGAUUAGAAACCCUAGUAGUCC